GUCUUUUUAUUGUCUCAACUAACUCUGUCAAACAAACAAGCGUAAACAUCAAGGCCUUGCGACCUUGUGCUAAUGUUGUGAGAUGCUACGCACAGUUACGCACGCAGCACUCGCAAAAGAUUUGUAAUGAUCCUUCCGCAGGUUCACCUACGGAAA
rnacentral:misc_RNA from 1 species